rnacentral:lncRNA from 1 species
UGGAGCUUGGAACACUGAGCUAGAGUCCUGAGCUCUGCGGAGGUCCCUGCUCUCCCUUUCCCGAGCUCAGCUGCAUCAUUUGACACUUCAGCACCGCUGGCCACAACACGAACUCGCUUACAGGACGGCAUCACUGCCACCCACUUAAAGGGAAGGCGUUGUCUGUAGCUGUGACCAGUGGGAAGGACCUUCAGAGAUGGAGAAACGGGUCCAGGUCACCCCAAGAAAUCAGUGAUGCAAGGUAUUUCCUCGUGAACAGGCAACCGCCUAGGGGCACCGGGCAAGUGGAUUCUUCCACUCCAGCCAGAACCCUGAGCUUAAGCUCCUCAGAUGACUACGGAGCGACCUGUUAUCAAGUCUAUCGCCGACCAAUGUGAGAGCGUGGAAGACGCUCCCGCAGGCUGACCCGAGAGACACAGCGC